AUUUGUAUGAUUUUGCAGCCAAUCACCGCACACAUUUUUUGAUUCAAUGCAAUGUGUGAUUGGCCCACUAUCGCAGCAGCUACAACCCACACAGUCUGUGGUGUGGUACAACUGACUGAUGAG